GAUGAACGCUAGCUACAGGCUUAACACAUGCAAGUCGAGGGGCAGCGGGAUUGAAGCUUGCUUCAAUUGCCGGCGACCGGCGCACGGGUGAGUAACGCGUAUCCAACCUUCCGUACACUCAGGGAUAGCCUUUCGAAAGAAAGAUUAAUACCUGAUGGUAUGAUGAGAUUGCAUGAUAGCAUCAUUAAAGAUUUAUCGGUGUACGAUGGGGAUGCGUUCCAUUAGGUAGUAGGCGGGGUAACGGCCCACCUAGCCUGCGAUGGAUAGGGGUUCUGAGAGGAAGGUCCCCCACAUUGGAACUGAGACACGGUCCAAACUCCUACGGGAGGCAGCAGUGAGGAAUAUUGGUCAAUGGACGAGAGUCUGAACCAGCCAAGUAGCGUGAAGGAUGAAGGUCCUACGGAUUGUAAACUUCUUUAUAAGGGAAUAAAACCUCCCACGUGUGGGAAGCUUGUAUGUACCUUAUGAAUAAGCAUCGGCUAACUCCGUGCCAG
rnacentral:rRNA from 1 species